rnacentral:rRNA from 1 species
GCUUGCUGGUGGAUUAGUGGCGAACGGGUGAGUAACACGUGAGUAACCUGCCCUUAACUCUGGGAUAAGCCUGGGAAACUGGGUCUAAUACCGGAUAUGACUCCUCAUCGCAUGGUGGGGGGUGGAAAGCUUUAUUGUGGUUUUGGAUGGACUCGCGGCCUAUCAGCUUGUUGGUGAGGUAAUGGCUCACCAAGGCGACGACGGGUAGCCGGCCUGAGAGGGUGACCGGCCACACUGGGACUGAGACACGGCCCAGACUCCUACGGGAGGCAGCAGUGGGGAAUAUUGCACAAUGGGCGAAAGCCUGAUGCAGCGACGCCGCGUGAGGGAUGACGGCCUUCGGGUUGUAAACCUCUUUCAGUAGGGAAGAAGCGAAAGUGACGGUACCUGCAGAAGAAGCGCCGGCUAACUACGUGCCAGCAGCCGCGGUAAUACGUAGGGCGCAAGCGUUAUCCGGAAUUAUUGGGCGUAAAGAGCUCGUAGGCGGUUUGUCGCGUCUGCCGUGAAAGUCCGGGGCUCAACUCCGGAUCUGCGGUGGGUACGGGCAGACUAGAGUGAUGUAGGGGAGACUGGAAUUCCUGGUGUAGCGGUGAAAUGCGCAGAUAUCAGGAGGAACACCGAUGGCGAAGGCAGGUCUCUGGGCAUUAACUGACGCUGAGGAGCGAAAGCAUGGGGAGCGAACAGGAUUAGAUACCCUGGUAGUCCAUGCCGUAAACGUUGGGCACUAGGUGUGGGGGACAUUCCACGUUUUCCGCGCCGUAGCUAACGCAUUAAGUGCCCCGCCUGGGGAGUACGGCCGCAAGGCUAAAACUCAAAGGAAUUGACGGGGGCCCGCACAAGCGGCGGAGCAUGCGGAUUAAUUCGAUGCAACGCGAAGAACCUUACCAAGGCUUGACAUGAACCGGAAAUACCUGGAAACAGGUGCCCCGCUUGCGGUCGGUUUACAGGUGGUGCAUGGUUGUCGUCAGCUCGUGUCGUGAGAUGUUGGGUUAAGUCCCGCAACGAGCGCAACCCUCGUUCUAUGUUGCCAGCGCGUUAUGGCGGGGACUCAUAGGAGACUGCCGGGGUCAACUCGGAGGAAGGUGGGGACGACGUCAAAUCAUCAUGCCCCUUAUGUCUUGGGCUUCACGCAUGCUACAAUGGCCGGUACAAAGGGUUGCGAUACUGUGAGGUGGAGCUAAUCCCAAAAAGCCGGUCUCAGUUCGGAUUGGGGUCUGCAACUCGACCCCAUGAAGUCGGAGUCGCUAGUAAUCGCAGAUCAGCAACGCUGCGGUGAAUACGUUCCCGGGCCUUGUACACACCGCCCGUCAAGUCACGAAAGUUGGUAACACCCGAAGCCGGUGG